rnacentral:lncRNA from 10 species
ACAAAGACAGUCUGAGUGGCCCAGGCAAGCAGGGUAAUUUUCCACACCUUCAGACAAAUACAGUGGAGAUACAAAGUUUGCAAUGUUCUUAUUUGGCCCCCACACACUGCACUCUGGCAGUGAGAGAGGUCAGGCUUUCAGGAGGUUAUUUCUGAACCUAGACAAGCAUCCCACAGUGUGUGUGCACUGCUUACCCUCAGUGAAAAGUGGUUCUCAUUUUUAGUGCCGUAAAUCCUAUGAUCAUCCCCUCCCUUUUCUAACCAAAGCUGGUUCUGGAAGGUGGGCACUACCCCACAGUGUUGAUUUGGCUAGUCCUGCUUCCACUGUAGCCAAAGUCACUGAGAAAGUACUUGAUUAUCUUUAGGAGUAGAACAGCCAGGGUAAGCCAGUGGAAAAAUGUUACAGAAUGACAAGUAAGUGCUUGCUAAAAUAUUUUUGGUGCUCACUUCAGGUUGACUCAGCAGGUCAGAGAAAUGCGAAUCCAGAAGUUAGGAGUGACCUUGGCUAAGUCACUUUAUCUCUCCAGCCAUUGAAAGCUUGGAUUAAAUCAUAGGCUUUAGAGCUAGGUUCCAUGGAGCUUUGGAGUUCUGUUAUACCUGUCACAGGAUAGGGACCAUUGAUAAAAGAGACUCUUAGCAGAUGAGAAUCUGGACAUCUGGGCUCGGAGAAGCUUUGAUUUUACCUGUUUUUAUACACUGAUUUAAGGGAACCCACACAAUUAUACAAAAAUAAAUGAAACGGUCUCCCUAUAAUUGCAUGGCCAAAGACCAGGGACACCAUGCCAACAGGGUCACAUGGAGCCUGUGCUCAGGAACAGAGUGGAUGACAAGGAUUGUGGGAGGCGAGAUACAGGGGUUAGAGCACAAAUUGUGCAGUGCCCCUUAGCAUUUGAUUUUUACUGAAAGAUGGGAACCCAGAAAAGGGAUGUGGGUAAAAGAAUGGCCUGCUAUUUGACCAACUUUUCUUUUCAUCUCUCGAAGAGCCUAGCAAAGUACUGAGCACAUAAAGGCUGCUGAAUAUAUUGUGACUGGUUAAUUGCAAAGGGAGCAACACCUUUCUUCACUGCUUUCCACAACUUUUUACCUUAAUCACAAUUAGAUGCAGGUUUAUUUCUACCUAAAAAUAUACUUACUGCAGAGAUAUGGACACUAAGAAAGUUCAGUUUAUACAUAGUCAAGGUGUGAGCCAAAACCCAUUUCUUUACUGAUGAGACCUGGAUCUCUCAUUAAAAUAUCACAGGUAUAAUAGAAACUAGCACACUUACAUACAGUGAAGGAUACAGCCCAUGCAAAUUCUAGAAUUUUCUACAGACCUCUACCAUAGGACAAGGGACAUUUGAAAUUUAAUAUAUUAGACACAUUUCACCUAGCUUUUAUUCUUCAUAAUUUUUUUAAUUUUUAAUUUUAAUUUUUAUAAGUUCAUAGUAGGCGUAUACAUUUAUGGGGUACAUGAGAUGUUUUGAUACAGACUUGCAAUGCAUAAUAAUUAUCACAUCCUUCAUAAAUUUUAUUUACAUAGUGGAAAUAUGUUUCAAGCUGUGGAGCAUUUAUAAAUUUAUACUGGGAUAGCAUCUUAAAAAUUUUCCCUUCUAUGAAUAAGUUCACAUGGAAAAACAGUAUAUGUUAUAAAUUCUGAAAUCAGCAACUUGACUCUAUAUUGUGCAGUUUGACAGACAGGACUCAUAAUUUAGUUCAGUCAUGGCUUUUCUGAGUAAAUAUAGAUCUAUCACUGACAUAAUUAGCCAAUCUUCAUUUUCUCCCACCUUGGUCAUAGAUUUGAUUUUUUAUCAUUAGCAUUUAGAGAGAGUAGCAUGUAUAAUACAAUAAAGAGUGGGAUAUGGGACGGAAAAAUAGGAGGAAUCCCUUCACCUGCUGCAGGAAUGUGUCAUUCUGAACCCUAAAGCUGAUUCUAUUUGGUUUUAACAAGGUAUCAUCUCCAAAUCCUAUCAUGUUAUAUUAUGUUAGAAACAUUAAGUUACAAUGGGAGAGUCCCAGUAAGUGGAGAAAGUUGAAGGUUGUCCGAUAAAAUUAGGCAAGGGUUCACAUGCAUGCUUUGUCACACACUUCACUUGCAGACACAUCUGAAAAUGCACCCCCAACACCCCUAACAUUGUCUUCCUGGAAAGCACCAUUUAUUAACAGGACUCAAACAUGAACUACUCAAUAAAGAUCUUUCUUCCUCUGUUCCUCCCUCCCAGAACUGACAAUGCAUUCAUUGUACCCUAUAAACAAUUUCGUUACUGAUAAUAUGUACCUCUAAGUCUGUUUCUCCUAUUGGACUGGAAGCAAUUUAAAGAUAGUGAUUCACUUUUAUUAUCUUUUUAUCCUGAACUCCCAGCACAAUGCCUGGCACAUGUAGGACUGAAGAAAUAUUGUUAAUUAUUUAAUUUUAUCACACUCACUAGAUCCAACAUGAUAACAUGAGAGAAGGAAAUUCUACUUCAGCUCCAUAAUUUGAGAAAGGUCAUUCUUCUUUCUUAGAGGCAGCACCAUUACAUAACAGAGUCACCACUAGUGGCAGUAGAGUUUGGUGUAUAAGAAGAAAUGGGCUGGGCACAGUGGUUCAUGCCUGUAAUGCCAGCACUUUGGGAGGCUGAGGCAGGCAGAUCACUUGAUGUCAGGAGUUCAAGACCAGCCUGGCCUACAUGGCAAAACCCUGUCACUACUAAAAAUACAAAACUUAGUCAGGCGUGGUGGUAUGCGCCUGUAAUCAUGGCUGUUCAGGUGACUGAGGCAGGAGAAUCAUUUGAACCUGAGAGGCAGAGGGUGCAGUGAACUGAGAUCGCGCCACUGCACUCCAGCCUGGGAGACAGAGUGAGACUCCAUCUCAAAAAAUAAAAAUGAAGAAGAAGAAAGGGAUCACUAGCCUUUAAAUAAUUCUGUUUCAGCAUUAUGAUAUAAGUUUUUUAUUUAAUGAAGUUAUUUUCAUCUUCUCUUCAGCAGUAGCAUCACUUAAAA